ACUAAGUAGUGACUAUCUGCUGUGAUAUGUAUCAAUAAUCUUCAGUAGGAUGCUUGAUCCUCCUUCUCCUUUUUUCUUCCAUUCUUUUUAGAUGUGACGGUGCAAAAACCAGAAAAUUGGUUGCCUUUGUAAAACUUAUUUGAUACAUUUGCUACUGGAAAUUGCACAAUCUUUGAUUAGCAUAAUGAUAUAGGUUACAGUGUGGAAGACAGGGCUAGUUGUAGGCAGGUUGCAUGAAAUGAAAUUUAUGCACUUAAUGGGAUAACUUUUCUUUUUUCAAGUGAUGAAUUUCCAUAUCAUGUGCAGGAAAGUUUCAGGUGGAAUGGCAUGAUGAGCAAGAAAAAGGGUCAGAAAUGGGGCCAAGAGAAAGUCUCAUUUUCCCAAAGGAAUGAUUCUCCUGGUUCAAACAAAGAACGUCCUGAGAUGAUGAAUCGUGAGAGACAGAGAUGUGGCCAAGAGAAAGUCUCAUUUCCCGAAAAGAAUGAUUCUCCUGUUUCAAACAAAGAACGUCCUGAGGUGAUGAAUCGUGAGAGACAGAGAUGGGGCCGAGAGAAAGUCUCAUUUUCCCAAAACAACGAUUCUCCUGAGAUGAUGAAUCGAGAGAGUCAGAAAUGGGGUCAAGAGAAAGUUUCAUUUUCCCACAACAUGAUUCUCCUGAGAUGAUGAAUCAAGAGAGACAGAAAUGGGGUCAAGAAAAAGUUUCAUUUUCACACAACAAUGAUUCUCUAGGUUCAAGCAAAGGACAUCCUGAAAUGAUGAAUUGUGG
rnacentral:lncRNA from 1 species